GUGGGCGUAGCUCAGUUGGUAGAGCUCCGGAUUGUGAUUCCGGUGGUCGUGGGUUCGAUCCCCAUCGCUCACCCCA
rnacentral:tRNA from 1 species